rnacentral:rRNA from 1 species
ACUCCUACGGGAGGCAGCAGUGGGGAAUAUUGCACAAUGGGGGAAACCCUGAUGCAGCCAUGCCGCGUGUGUGAAGAAGGCCUUCGGGUUGUAAAGCACUUUCAGUAGGGAGGAGAGGGUGAGUCUUAAUACGGCUCAUCUGUGACGUUACCUACAGAAGAAGGACCGGCUAACUCCGUGCCAGCAGCCGCGGUAAUACGGAGGGUCCGAGCGUUAAUCGGAAUUACUGGGCGUAAAGCGUGCGCAGGCGGUUUGUUAAGCGAGAUGUGAAAGCCCUGGGCUCAACCUAGGAAUAGCAUUUCGAACUGGCGAACUAGAGUCUUGUAGAGGGGGGUAGAAUUCCAGGUGUAGCGGUGAAAUGCGUAGAGAUCUGGAGGAAUACCGGUGGCGAAGGCGGCCCCCUGGACAAAGACUGACGCUCAUGCACGAAAGCGUGGGGAGCAAACAGGAUUAGAUACCCUGGUAGUCCACGCCGUAACGAUGUCUACUCGGAGUUUGGUGUCUUGAACACUGGGCUCUCAAGCUAACGCAUUAAGUAGACCGCCUGGGGAGUACGGCCGCAAGGUUAAAACUCAAAUGAAUUGACGGGGGCCCGCACAAGCGGUGGAGCAUGUGGUUUAAUUCGAUGCAACGCGAAGAACCUUACCUACUCUUGACAUCCACAGAA